CAGUCGCCGCGGUAAAACGGAGGGAGCUAGCGUUGUUCGGAAUUACUGGGCGUAAAGCGCACGUAGGCGGCUUUGUAAGUUAGAGGUGAAAGCCUGGAGCUCAACUCCAGAAUUGCCUUUAAGACUGCAUCGCUUGAAUCCAGGAGAGGUGAGUGGAAUUCCGAGUGUAGAGGUGAAAUUCGUAGAUAUUCGGAAGAACACCAGUGGCGAAGGCGGCUCACUGGACUGGUAUUGACGCUGAGGUGCGAAAGCGUGGGGAGCAAACAGGAUUAGAUACCCCUGUAGUCCCUGUCUCUUAUAC
rnacentral:rRNA from 1 species